UCUACUUCCUCUGUCUCAUAAAAAACGAAUCUAGGAAUAUAUGUGACACAUCAUAGUACUACGAAUCUAGAUAAAUUUGUCUAGAUUCAUAGCACUAGGAUAUGUGUCAUAUCCGGGGUUGGUUUUUUAUGGGAUGGAGGAAAUAGUCUA
rnacentral:misc_RNA from 1 species